CCAACUCUUUGGCUAUUUCUCUCUCUAAAAUGUUUUUAUUAAGGUGAAUCAUUUCCUUGUGGAUCUUAGUCAAAAAGAUCCUCACCAAUAUAAUAUCGUAGUCUAUCAGAAAAGAUGAGUCAUCCUAGUGAAGGCCGGGCAUGGCAUCAUUUUAACUCAGUCUUUCUUGAUUUUGCAAAGGAGACACGCAAUGUUCGUCUCAGGCUAUGUACCAAUGGAUUUAGUCCAAAUAAUACAAGCGGGGCACCGUAUUCAUGUUAGCCAGUGUUUAUCACGGUUUACAACCUGCCUCCUUGGUUGGCUUUGAAAGAGAAAUAUGUACUAAUGCCUUUGCUCAUUCCCGGUCCAAAUAAUCCCACACAAAAUAUCGAUGUUUUUCUACAACCUUUGGUAGAUGAGCUGAAAUUGUUGUUCACACAUGGCAUUGAGACUUAUGAUGCCCAUGCAUGCAACAAUUUUCAAAUGAAGGUCGUACUGCUAUGGACAGUUAGUGACUUUCCUGCUUAUGCAAUGUUGUCCGGAUGGAGCACACAUGGUAAGUUAGCUUGCCCAUGUUGCUCAAAUAAAUCAGGAUCUUUCCAGCUUCAUUUUGGAAGGAAACCCUGUUGGUUUGACUGCCAGAGACAACAUCUUCCAACAAAUCAUGCUUUUCUGAAAGAUAAGAUUAACUUUUGGAAAAAAACAAGACGGUUUCGAGUGUAAGAGAUAUUCCAGAGCCAACUGGAGAGGAAAUAUGGCAGGAUAUAAAAGAUUUUCCCAUUGUUUAUGAUGUUAAACCCCGUGGUACUAAAAAAUGUAGAAAACCGCCGGGUUUUUGGGAUUACAUAUAAUUGGGCAAAGAGAAGCAUCUUUUGGGAACUUCCGUAUUGGGGUAAGUUGUUGAUUCGGCACAACCUCGACGUGAUGCAUAUCGAGAAAAACGUAUUUGAAAAUUUGUUUAACACAAUCAUGGGCACCAGCUAUACUAAGGACAAUAUGAAGGCAAGGCAAGACAUGUAGGAAAUUUGUAAUCGACCUCUUUUAAACCCAAAAUGUGAUAAAAAUGGGAAUAUGGCUAAAGAUAGGGGAGAUUACACUCUGAAAAAAGAUGUCAUUAAAAAAGUAUGUGUUUUGUUGAAAAAGCUUAAAUUUCCAGAUGGGUAUGCGUCAAACAUAGGGAGUUGUGUGAACAUGAAAGUCAACAUUUUUCAUAGCUUCAAAAGUCAUGACUGUCACGUGUUUAUGCAACGGUUGCUUCCACUUGCUAUUAGAGGUUUUGUCUCAAAAGAUACAUACGGGGCUGUAACAGAGUUAUGCAUGUUCUUUCGUGUCUUAUGCUCAAGAACGUUGCAUGUAGAUGAUUUCGUUAACAUGAAACGCGACAUUGUUAAAACGAUAUGCAAGUUGGAGAAAAUAUUCCCACCCAGUUUCUUUGAUUCCAUGGAGCACCUGGUCAUACAUCUAGCUAACGAAGCUCUUCUUGGUGGUCCAGUGCAAUACAGAUGGAUGUAUCAAUAUGAGAGGAAACUUGGCUAUAUGAAAAGAAGAAUCCGAAACAAAUCAAAGGUUGAGGGUUCAAUCAUGAGGGAACACCUAGUGAAUGGAAUUGAAACUUAUUGUUCUCUGUACUUUGACCUGUCGAUUGAGACACACCAUAAUCGAGAGCCGCAGAAUUUCGCGACGCAAUAUUCUAGCUCUUUGAGGGGAGGCUCUCAAUUGAGCGUGUUUGUCGUUCCAUCGAGACGAUUAUAUCAAAAGGGUGGAAAGCGGAGACGCAUGAGUAAAGAAUAAUUAAAAAAGGCGCACACCUAUUUUCUUUUAAUUUGUGAAGAAAUUUACCCUUACAUUGACAACUUUGACGAAGUGGCGCAACAAUUGUAUCCGGAUGAGCCAGAGUUUCUUCUCAGAUAUCACCAUUUUGCUGAAUGGUUUGAAAAAUAUAUAAUGAAUGGCUUAAUUGAUGGAAGCACUGACAUUUGGAAGUUUUUGCAAGAGAACCAUCAUUGUAUGCUCAGUCUCACGAUGGGUACUUUGUAAAUGGUUAAAAGUUCCACACACGGAAGCAUGGUAAAGGACUUGUAACCUCAAACUUCGGUGUCUACAUGAGAGGGGAAACAUAUAGUACAGAAGAGUCUGACUACUACGGCUUAUUGGAUGAGAUAUUAGAGCUCCAAUAUGAUUGCAAUGUGUCUCAAACUGUUGUGUUGUUUAAAUAUGCAUGGUUUGAUAACAAACAUGGUGUAAUAGUUAACAAAAACAAGUUAGUUGAUGUCAAUCAAAAGUUCCAACUUCAAAGUGAUGACCAAUUUAUCUUGGCAUCACAGGCGGAACAAGUGUUUUACACACCAUAUCCCGCCACAACACGCGAUACAAAAGAUCUAGGGGCGGUUGUCAAGACAAAAGCGCGAUACAUUUAUGAAGUUACCGAUGUCACAAACGACGGAAACACGGAAGCCCAUGAUUUUCUUCAGACUGAUGAACGGUACGAGUUACCGAAUGAUGCAACUAAUAGUGAACCUUUGGACCCGGAUACAUUUUAUGACAAUGAUGAUGACGACGAUGACGAUGACGAUGAAAUGGUUUAUUCAGAUCACUCUUCAGAUGAAGAUGAAGACGAAGAUGAACGUGAUUGUUAGGAACAUAAAUUGUUUGUUGUUAUACGUGCAUUUGGUAAGAACAUAAAUUGUUUGUUAUUGUAC